UCCCCAACCAUAGUGGGCUUGGAGCUAUGAGGGAAUUCGGAGUGGCCACCCGUUUUGAAAGUUUGAUUUUCUUCUGCCUCAGAUUCAUUAGAGCCUACUACGAGUUAAGGAAAAGUUAGUUGAACUUUCAGCUUUCCGGCAAAAGCAUAAAGUGUUAACGUUUUGCAGAACUUGAAGGACAGAUCAACUUCAAGGCUCAAACUAUCAAGCUUUUGUCUUGGUAAAUUUUGAUUUAUUAUUUUGGCUUUGUGGCAAGUAUAUAGGGUUUUGAAGUUGUUGAAUUUAAAGUUUUAGUUGGAUUUGUAAUGUGGUUAAAGUUGGUUUAUAAUGUUAAAUUUCAUGUUUCACGA